rnacentral:rRNA from 1 species
AUCUACGGCCAUAGAAUUGGGAAAGCAUCGGGUCCCGUCCGCUCACCGCUUUGGUCACAGACAAGUUUCUUAGUUUAGGCAACGUUGAUAUGCAUCUUAACUCCCCGUAAUGAUCACCUCAAUGUCGCUCAGUCAGUACCAUCGUGGGGGACCAGAUGGGAAUAUUGGGUGCGGUGGUUG